AAUAGAUACCCCGGUAGUCCACGCCGUAAACGAUGAGUGCUAAGUGUUGGGGGGUUUCCGCCCCUCAGUGCUGCAGCUAACGCAUUAAGCACUCCGCCUGGGGAGUACGGUCGCAAGACUGAAACUCAAAGGAAUUGACGGGGGCCCGCACAAGCGGUGGAGCAUGUGGUUUAAUUCGAAGCAACGCGAAGAACCUUACCAGGUCUUGACAUCCCGGUGACCACUAUGGAGACAUAGUUUCCCCUUCGGGGGCAACGGUGACAGGUGGUGCAUGGUUGUCGUCAGCUCGUGUCGUGAGAUGUUGGGUUAAGUCCCGCAACGAGCGCAACCCUUAUUCUUAGUUGCCAUCAUUCAGUUGGGCACUCUAAGGAGACUGCCGGUGAUAAACCGGAGGAAGGUGGGGAUGACGUCAAAUCAUCAUGCCCCUUAUGACCUGGGCUACACACGUGCUACAAUGGACGGUACAAACGGUUGCCAACCCGCGAGGGGAGCUAAUCCGAUAAAACCGUUCUCAGUUCGGAUUGUAGGCUGCAACUCGCCUACA
rnacentral:rRNA from 1 species